UGAGCUGAUUACAGUCCUAAUCAAAUAAUGUAAAAAAGGCAAGUUCUUUGUAAUCAAGAAAAUGCAGCUUCACAUCUUGGCUUUGCUGCCACCAGCCAUGUAGACUUGGGCCUGUCUGAGUCUGUCUCCACAUCAUAGGGUUGCUCAUAGGCAGAUGUUGGUGUCAGGGUGUGAAAAAAGUAGGAAGUGCAACUCCUGCAUGCAGGAGAGCAGCACAGAAGAGGAAAAGAGCAGUAGGAGACUCAACUGAGAUUCCCCCAGCCUCAGAGGGAAGCAGAAGCAGCAGAAUGAUGCCAGUGAGGAAUUGCAGGAGUUAACCAAGAGGGCUAGUCCUGAGCAAGGCUGAGCACAAGGGAUGCUCAGCAUGGAAAAAUGAUGAGCCAGGGCAGAAGGACCCACACUCCUACCCCUGGAUGGCUCAGUACUAAGCGGAUGGCUUCGACAGACUCUCCCUGUGGGUGUUGGGUCUGGGCCAGACAAGAAAUUGCAUCGGGACCAUCUUCACUAGAAUGUCAGAUCCAGGAGGGCCAGGACUUGAUUUUUAUUUAUUGCUGUAUCCUGGUAUAUAGGAGGUGCUGAGUAAGUGUUAAGAUUUGUUGCUCCAUAGGUAAUGGGAAGUGUUUGAUAGCUGAAACUCCUG